UACAGAGGGUGCGAGCGUUAAUCGGAAUUACUGGGCGUAAAGCGCGCGUAGGCGGCUUUGCAAGUCGGGUGUGAAAUCCCCAGGCUUAACCUGGGAACUGCAUUCGAGACUGCAUUGCUAGAGUAUGGGAGAGGGAAGUGGAAUUUCCGGUGUAGCGGUGAAAUGCGUAAAUAUCGGAAGGAACAUCAGUGGCGAAAGCGACUUCCUGGACCAAUACUGACGCUCAUGUGCGAAAGCGUGGGGAGCAAACAGG
rnacentral:rRNA from 1 species